AUUGAACGCUGGCGGCAGGCCUAACACAUGCAAGUCGAGCGAGUGGCGGACGGGUGAGUAAUAUAUGGGAAUGUGCCUGGUAGCGGGGGAUAACUACUGGAAAGGGUAGCUAAUACCGCAUACUAUUAGAUGCACCGAUAUGGGAUUAGCUAGUUGGUGGGGUAACGGCUUACCAAGGCGACGAUCCCUAGCUGGUCUGAGAGGAUGACCAGCCACACUGGGACUGAGACACGGCCCAGACUCCUACGGGAGGCAGCAGUGGGGAAUAUUGCACAAUGGGCGCAAGCCUGAUGCAGCCAUGCCGCGUGUAUGAAGAAGGCCUUCGGGUUGUAAAGUACUUUCAGCCGGGAGGCGUUACCUGCAGAAUAAGCACCGGCUAACUCCGUGCCAGCAGCCGCGGUAAUUC
rnacentral:rRNA from 1 species